CUCAGGUUAAUAUUUCAGCAACAUCAUACAUUUCUGGAUUUUGAUUCAUGUUAGGAGAGGAAACUGGGGAAUCCUUUGUGGCCUCUAUCUAUAUCAGUGUACCACUCUUUUGUUAGAGACCAUUAGGCACGGAAAAUGAAUCUGCUUUAGGCUUGCUGACUGAAGUUACUUUGAGGCAGCUGGUUCUUUGUGAUGGGCAGAUUUUCCACCAUUAAGGACAUCUGGUUUUCUCGCUAGCCAACAUCGUGCACAUCGUUAUAUGGUUUUAGAAUUUUGAAAUUUGAGGAUCACAUAGUGCAUGUUUCAAAAAAAUCUCCAAUUCUAGGUGGAAAUAGCAAAAGGUGUAAUCUGAUUUGUCACCAUUAUUUCCUCUGCA